AUUGAACGCUGGCGGCAUGCCUUACACAUGCAAGUCGAACGGCAGCACGGGAGCAAUCCUGGUGGCGAGUGGCGAACGGGUGAGUAAUAUAUCGGAACGUGCCCAGUCGUGGGGAUAACGUAGCGAAAGCUACGCUAAUACCGCAUACGAUCUAUGGAUGAAAGCGGGGGAUCGCAAGACCUCGCGCGAUUGGAGCGGCCGAUAUCAGAUUAGGUAGUUGGUGAGGUAAAGGCUCACCAAGCCGACGAUCUGUAGCUGGUCUGAGAGGAUGAUCAGCCACAUUGGGACUGAGACACGGCCCAAACUCCUACGGGAGGCAGCAGUGGGGAAUAUUGGACAAUGGGCGAAAGCCUGAUCCAGCCAUGCCGCGUGUGUGAAGAAGGUACUUCGGAUUGUAAAGCACUUUAAGUUGGGAGGAAGGGUAGUAACCUAAUACGUUGCUACUUUGACGUUACCGACAGAAUAAGCACCGGCUAACUUACGUCG
rnacentral:rRNA from 1 species